GACGAACGCUGGCGGCGCGCCUAACACAUGCAAGUCGAACGGGAUCUUUUAGGAGCUUGCUCCUGGCUGAUCUAGUGGCGGACGGGUGAGUAACACGUGAGCAACCUGCCGAGAAGAGGGGGAUAACGUCUGGAAACGGACGCUAAUACCGCAUAACAAGCCGGGGAGACAUCUUUCUGGUUUCAAAGGAGCAAUCCGCUUUUCGAUGGGCUCGCGCCCGAUUAGAUAGUUGGUGAGGUAACGGCUCACCAAGUCGACGAUCGGUAGCCGGACUGAGUGGUUGAACGGCCACAUUGGGACUGAGACACGGACCAGACUCCUACGGGAGGCAGCAGUGAGGAAUAUUGGUCAAUGGGCGAGAGCCUGAACCAGCCAAGUAGCGUGAAGGAUGACUGCCCUAUGGGUUGUAAACUUCUUUUGUAUGGGAAUAAAUGACAUUACGUGUAGUGUUUUGUAUGUACCAUUAUGAAUAAGCAUCGGCUAACUCCGUGCCAGCCGCCGUAACAC
rnacentral:rRNA from 1 species